rnacentral:rRNA from 1 species
AGCCCAAACCGAUAACGUUUCGGCGUUAUCGGGGUAGUAGGACCACGAUGUCCGAGUAAUAUUUGAACUGGAACCUGUCUGGAAAGUCAGGCCAUAGAGGGUGAGAGCCCCGUACAGGUAAGAAUAUGAUUGGUAGUGGUAUCCUGAGUAGCGCGGAGCACGAGGAAUUCUGCGUGAAUUCGCCGGGACCAUCCGGUAAGGCUAAAUACUCCAUAGAGACCGAUAGUGAACCAGUACCGUGAGGGAAAGGUGAAAAGCACUUCGAGUAGAAGAGUGAAAUAGUACCUGAAACUGUUUGCUUACAAGCGGUCGGAGCGGCUAUAAGCCGUGACGGCGUGCCUUUUGCAUAAUGAACCUACGAGUCACCUUCUUUAGCGAGGUUAAGUCCUUCAGGGACGUAUCCGAAGCGAAAGCGAGUCUUAACAGGGCGUUGAGUUAGAGGGGGUGGACGCGAAACCAAGUGAUCUACACAUGACCAGGAUGAAGUUUCGGUAACACGGGAUGGAGGUCCGAACCGUUUGGCGUUGAAAAGCCCUCGGAUGAGUUGUGUGUAGGGGUGAAAGGCUAAUCAAACUUGGAGAUAGCUCGUACUCCCCGAAAUGCAUUUAGGUGCAGCGUGGAAUUAGUCUAUAUGAGGUAGAGCGACUGAUUGGAUGCGAGGGCUUCACCGCCUAUCAAGUCCUGAUAAACUCCGAAUGCGUAUAGAUGUUGUUCCGCAGUGAGGGCGCGGGUGCUAACGUCCGUGUCCGAGAGGAAAAGAAUCCUUACCAUCGUCUAAGGCCCUUAAAUGUAUGCUAAGUUUAAUUAACGAAGUUUUGUCGCAGUGACAGCUAGGAUGUUGGCUUGGAAGCAGCCAUUCAUCUAAAGAGUGCGUAACAGCUCACUAGUCGAGCGACGGAGCGUGGAUAAUAAUCGGGAAUAAGCAUACUGCCGAAGCCAUGGGUUUCGAUAAGAAGCGGUAGGGGAGCAUUCCGUUCAGCGUAGAAGGCGUGUUGGGAGACACUCUGGAGCGUACGGAAAAGCAAAUGUAGGUAUAAGUAACGAUAAAGGAGGUGAGAAACCUCCUCGCCGGAAGACUGAGGUUUCCUGAUCAACGUUAAUCGGAUCAGGGUUAGUCGGGGCCUAAGGGUAAGCCGAAUGGCGAGCCCGAUGGAAGAAACUGUUAAUAUUCAGUUACUGGCAUACGCACUGAUGUGGAGACGGAGGAAUGAAAGUCCUGCCGACUGACGGAAUAGUCGGUUAAAGGGUGUAGAUGUAGAUUGUGUAGGCAAAUCCGCACAAGAAUCGAACCUGAAAGUACCUCGAGGGCUUGCCUGAGGGGAAAUGGAUGUAAUUAGACUCCCAAGAAAAUCCGCUAAAGAUAUGCGUAUGGCACCCGUACCACAAACGGACACACGUGGUCACGUAUAGAGUACUAAGGCGCUCGAGAGAUUCACAGCUAAGGAACUAGGCAAAAUAGCCCCGUAACUUCGGGAAAAGGGGCGCUCUCUGAGAGGAGAGCCGCAGAGAAAUGGCUCAAGCGACUGUUUAACAAAAACACAGGGCUAUGCGAAAUCGAAAGAUGAAAUAUAUGGCCUGACACCUGCCCGGUGCUGGAAGGUUAAGAGGAGAUGUCACGAAAGGAAGCAUUGAAUUGAAGCCCCAGUAAACGGCGGCCGUAACUAUAACGGUCCUAAGGUAGCGAAAUUCCUUGUCGGGUAAGUUCCGACCUGCACGAAUGGUGUAACGAUCUGGGCGCUGUCUCAACCGUGAGCUCGGUGAAAUUGUAGUAUCGGUGAAGAUGCCGAUUUCCCGCAAUGGGACGAAAAGACCCCGUGAACCUUUACUGCAGCUUUGCAUUGAGUUUGGGUAAUUGAUGUGUAGGAUAGGUCGGAGGCUAUGAAGCAGGUACGCUAGUAUUUGUGGAGCCGUUGUUGAAAUACGACCCUUUGAUUAUUUGGAUUCUAACCCGCGGAGCGGGGACACUGCAUGGUGGGUAGUUUGACUGGGGUGGUCGCCUCCAAAAGUGUAACGGAGGCUUCCAAAGGUGCGUUCAUGACGAUUGGUAACCGUCAGUAGAGUGCAAUGGCAUAAGCGCGCUUGACUGAGAGACUAACAAGUCGACCAGGUAGGAAACUAGGGCAUAGUGAUCCGGUGGUUCCGUAUGGAAGGGCCAUCGCUC